rnacentral:ribozyme from 1 species
UAGCCAUCUAUUUAUCCGGUUACUUCUAUAAUGUAGCCUACUAAAGACGGUUUCAAGCCCGUGUAAAUACAGAGAAUAGA